UCUUUUUAUUGCUAAGUAACUUUGGUCAUAGUUUUUAAUUGCGUGGAAAUUCACAUAGGCUGAGGUAAUCAAGCAAAGAUGUAGAAGCAUUCACCUACUGUCUCACUGGGGAAAGUGUGGUCUAUUUUGAGACUAUACCUU